rnacentral:rRNA from 1 species
CCUACGGGAGGCAGCAGUAGGGAAUCUUUCACAAUGGGCGAAAGCCUGAUGGAGCAACGCCGCGUGCAGGAUGAAGGCCUUCGGGUUGUAAACUGCUUUUAUAAGCGAGAAAUAUGAUGGUAACUUAUUAAUAAGGAUCGGCUAACUACGUGCCAGCAGCCGCGGUCAUACGUAGGAUCGGAGCAUUAUCCGGAGUGACUGGGUGUAAAGAGUUGCGUAGGUGGGAUAAGAAGUAGAGAGGGGAAACUGGUGGCUCAACCAUUCGGACUAUUAGGUAAACUGUUAAGCUCGAGACCGGGAGAGGUAACUGGAAUUUCUAGUGUAGGGGUGAAAUGCGUAGAUAUUAGGAGGAACACCAGUGGCGUAGGCAGGUUACUGGAACGGUACUGACGCUGAGGCACGAAAGCGUAGGGAGCAAACAGGAUUAGAUACCCGAGUAGUC